rnacentral:tRNA from 1 species
GCCUGGGUGGCUCAGUCAGUUAAGCAUCUGACUUCAACUCAGGUCAUGAUCUUGCAAUUCGUGAGUUCGAGCCCCACGUUGGGCU